AGACCCGAAACCCGGUGAUCUAGCCAUGGGCAGGUUGAAGGUUGGGUAACACUAACUGGAGGACCGAACCGACUAAUGUUGAAAAAUUAGCGGAUGACCUGUGGCUGGGGGUGAAAGGCCAAUCAAACCGGGAGAUAGCUGGUUCUCCCCGAAAGCUAUUUAGGUAGCGCCUCGUGAAUUCAUCUCCGGGGGUAGAGCACUGUUUCGGCUAGGGGGCCAUCCCGGCUUACCAACCCGAUGCAAACUGCGAAUACCGGAGAAUGUUAUCACGGGAGACACACGGCGGGUGCUAACGUCCGUCGUGAAGAGGGAAACAACCCAGACCGCCAGCUAAGGUCCCAAAGUCAUGGUUAAGUGGGAAACGAUGUGGGAAGGCCCAGACAGCCAGGAUGUUGGCUUAGAAGCAGCCAUCAUUUAAAGAAAGCGUAAUAGCUCACUGGUCGAGUCGGCCUGCGCGGAAGAUGUAACGGGGCUAAACCAUGCACCGAAGCUGCGGCAGCGACACUAUGUGUUGUUGGGUAGGGGAGCGUUCUGUAAGCCUGUGAAGGUGGCCUGUGAGGGUUGCUGGAGGUAUCAGAAGUGCGAAUGCUGACAUAAGUAACGAUAAAGCGGGUGAAAAGCCCGCUCGCCGGAAGACCAAGGGUUCCUGUCCAACGUUAAUCGGGGCAGGGUGAGUCGACCCCUAAGGCGAGGCCGAAAGGCGUAGUCGAUGGGAAACGGGUUAAUAUUCCCGUACUUGGUGUUACUGCGAAGGGGGGACGGAGAAGGCUAUGUUGGCCGGGCGACGGUUGUCCCGGUUUAAGCGUGUAGGCUGGUUUUCCAGGCAAAUCCGGAAAAUCAAGGCUGAGGCGUGAUGACGAGGCACUACGGUGCUGAAGCAACAAAUGCCCUGCUUCCAGGAAAAGCCUCUAAGCAUCAGGUAACAUCAAAUCGUACCCCAAACCGACACAGGUGGUCAGGUAGAGAAUACCAAGGCGCUUGAGAGAACUCGGGUGAAGGAACUAGGCAAAAUGGUGCCGUAACUUCGGGAGAAGGCACGCUGACAC
rnacentral:rRNA from 1 species